rnacentral:rRNA from 1 species
CCGUAAUUAAACUGAAUUGUUGCCUAUUGUUAUUAGGCCCCGAAUACCUUAGCAUGGGAUAAUGGAAUAGGACCCUGUCCUCCUAUUUUCAGUUGGUUUUGGCACCGCGAGGACUAGGGUAAUGAUUAAUAGGGAUAGUUGGGGGCAUUAAUAUUUAAUUGUCAGAGGUGAAAUUCUUGGAUUUAUGAAAGAUUAACUUCUGCGAAAGCAUCUGCCAAGGAUGUUUUCAUUAAUCAAGAACGAAAGUUAGGGGAUCGAAGACGAUCAGAUACCGUCGUAGUCUUAACCAUAAACGAUGCCGACCAGUGAUUAGGAGACGUUGAAUACUAAACACCACCAUCGGCGCGGUCGUCCUUGGCGCUUCGUGUUCCGCACGAGCGCGCGAGGGCGGUUUAGCCCCGUGGCACCGGAGAAUGACUCCCCUAGCCACUUGUGAGAAUACUUAACCUUCUUCGCCAACACCGAGUUAUACCAUCCUAACACUUU